UACAGAGGUCUCGAGCGUUGUUCGGAUUCAUUGGGCGUAAAGGGUGCGUAGGCGGCGGGGUAAGUCUGAUGUGAAAUCCCGGGGCUCAACCCCGGAACUGCAUUGGAUACUGCUCUGCUUGAGUACUGGAGAGGAGACUGGAAUUUACGGUGUAGCAGUGAAAUGCGUAGAUAUCGUAAGGAAGACCAGUGGCGAAGGCGAGUCUCCGGACAGUUACUGACGCUGAGGCACGAAGGCUAGGGGAGCAAACGGG
rnacentral:rRNA from 1 species